UGGCGACCUUUGACCUAUCCCUUCCUACCUACCCCAGUGACUCUGUGGCAUCAGGGAAAACAGUUUCACUGAGAAGCCAUUCUCUGAAACAUCUCAGAGAAAUGUAACUUCGGGAUUAUCUCAAAUGCACUGGAAACAUAAGUAGCAAAAAUCUUCCAGACGAAGAAGCCUGCAUGGAAUAUGUUAAUAUAUGGUGCAGAUUGGGUCUAUUAGUGAUUAUGUGCUUGUCAGGGAUGCUGUGAAGAAGAGGCUCAUCAAAAACCAGGCGAAGGCUUUGAGACAAUGAGUGUGUGGAGAUUGCACAGCUUGCAGCCAAGGAGCAGCAAUGGGAUGUAGGAGAAAAUGAAGGCUUUAAUUCUGAGUCUUGUAAUCAUUGGGAAGUUGGUCUACAAAUGAGAAUAGCUUUUACUUCUUGUGCAGUUCAUGCCAUUCUGAGGGUCACAUCACCUGUCUUGACAGAAGGGGUGGAAUUAUGUAUUUGGUUAUGGGGAAAACCAUGUAAGGUUUCACUCCUUUUUGGAUUCACCAGUGUUUAUUUACACACACCUAGUGUGCCAUAUUGUGCUUGCCUAUAGAAGAGCCUUCAUCAACUCACUGGUGUAGUGGUGUGGUGGUCUCAAGAUACACCAGGAUUUUAUAACUAAUGGUGCAAUAAGUACUGAAAUUGUGAACCUGGAGGUAUUUUCCAAGGGGCACAGGAACCUAUAGGCUCUGGUCCUAUAGUGCUGAGCUGGUACACACAGAGCUGGGCCCACAGGACACCCUGGGAACUGCACAGUCUCCUCUAUUACGCUGUGCCACAACCUGGGCAACACGGGUGUCUUGUUUGUUUGACACCUGGCCUCAGAGAAGAAGAAAGCCAUGUGCAUCUGUAUGGAGCAGCAGCAAAUUUUGGCACAAGAGCAGAGCAAAGACUCAUAUCCACACUUCUGAAGCCAUAGAGGGGUGUUCUAAUUGCUGUUUCUCAUGUUAUAUACACAACAUCUGAUUUGUAUUUGUUAAAUACGUGACACAGAAAUGAAGAGGCAGAAGAACAGAAAGUAAAUACUUGGACGUAUUUCUCAGGGUUUUUGAAGACCUGUGAAGGGACUUGAAAUAUCAUGCUUCUGUGCUUGCACACAGGCACAAAUCAUGGUGUUGCCUCAGGCUGAGCAGGAAGUGAGACCAGAGUUGUGUAAGCCUGAUGAAAGGCAGAGCUCUCAGCUGGAAGUCACUAUUCACUGGGUGGUUCUGGGACAGGCACACAGUAACGCAUUGAAAUGUAAGAUGGAUUAUAUAAUAAUUUGAAUUUGACAGAGUUCAGAUGGAAAUGGAGAGAAAAUUAGAAAAAUCAUAUAAUCCUUUCCCCAUACAAACCUUGACUUGAGGUAGAUAUGGUGGAGCCCUCUAGCCAACUUCGAUUAAUAGUUCCUGGACAGUCCCUCACUUACAAAUCGUCGUGUUGUGAUAACUAUCUGCUAUUUAAAGACACAGGAAGAAUAUUAAACUGCUUCUGUCUUUGAAGUUCACAGGCAGGGAAUCAUGGUUACUAAAGACUAUUAAUUAUCUCAGCAGUCAAACUAUGCUAGGCAAAACUCCAGUAUAAAUGGCAGACAGCAAGUCUGAUGUUAUACUGCAAGAUUUCCUCAGAAUAAUGUGUACAAAGCAAGAAAAAACCUGUGUGCAAACUCUAAUCUCAUUGAAACAGCCUGCAGAAGUACAUGUAUAA